rnacentral:tRNA from 1 species
ACGGCAGUGUUUCAGUGGUAGAAAACUAGGUUCCCAACCUAGGAAUCCGGGUUCGAUUCCCGGCUGCCGUA